UGAAGAAUGUGGGAUUUCCUAAUCUUACAGAAACCUUACACCUUUCUAUGAAAGCCACAUGUGCACAGUGUCCACAGUAGAUUAAAAUUACAGAAGAAACUUGAAGG